AUUGAACGCUGGCGGCAGGCCUAACACAUGCAAGUCGAGCGGAGCGGCGGACGGGUGAGUAAUGCCUAGGAAUCUGCCUGGUAGUGGGGGAUCACGUCCUGCAACGGGCGCUAAUACCGCAUCCUAUCAGAUGAUCAUAUGUCUGAUUAGCUAGUUGGUUGGGUAAAGGCCUACAAAGGCGACGAUCCGUAACUGGUCUGAGAGGAUGAUCAGUCACACUGGAACUGAGACACGGUCCAGACUCCUACGGGAGGCAGCAGUGGGGAAUAUUGGACAAUGGGCGAAAGCCUGAUCCAGCCAUGCCGCGUGUGUGAAGAAGGUCUUCGGAUUGUAAAGCACUUUAAGUUGGGAGGCGUUACCAACAGAAUAAGCACCGGCUAACUUCGUGCCAGCAGCCGCGGUAAUUC
rnacentral:rRNA from 1 species